GUGAACCACUCCCUUUAAAAAUGAGCCAAAAGCCAUUCGAUAAAUCCAUAUAUAAAUACAUAACCAUACACAAGAGAGAGAGAGAGAGAGAGAGAGAGAGAGGGUCUGUGAUGGCACUGCUCGAUGCGUCCUCGAAAAUCGUCGGGGCUCGGGACGAAGACCCGAAAACAAGACAGCGAGCUGGCAACCACCACUCACCUAUUUAAAGUUUCUAAAAAUAAGAUUAAUUUAAUACAUAUCCUUUCCAAUAUAAUAAAUAAUAAAUAUAUUUUUUAAAAAUUUAAUUUUUAUAUGUUGUUUCUAUAAAAGUUCUAAUAUUUUUAAAUAUAUUUCUUUCGUUAGAAUCUGUUAGAAAAAUUUAGUUAAUCAUAGGUUAAAUACUUAGUCAUGAUUAGUUUUUGAUAUUUUUAUGCUUAUGAUAUUAUACUGUUAUGACUUUUGAAAGAAUAUAUUUGUGAUGACAAAAUUGAAAAUAUAAACAGUUCUCUAAUGGUUCUCUAAUUAUGGUAACAAAUCAGAGGAACAUAUUUGAAAAUAUUAGGACCUUUGUAGAGACAAUAUAUAAAAGUUGAAUUUUGUAGGGAUAUAUAUUUGUCAUUCACUAUGUUUAUAAGGACCUGUAUGAAAUUAAUCCUUAAAAAUAAGAGCGUUAAUUGGUUUAAAGAAUCCGGCAUCUUACUCUAUGGCAGGACGAAAUGUCAGAAUGAAUCGUGUUGCAUUCAAAGUGACGUGGGGUUGAUUGGACCGAGUCACAACCAAAAUCCAUGAAUAUUGUGUCUGUAUACUUUAAGCGAAAUGAUUGUGUAUUCUUAACGACUCGAGUUUUUGGGAAUAAUGUUUAGCACUAACGAUCCGACAGAGUUCACUUAGAAUGCUUUUAGAAAUACAAAAAUUUCAGUCUUUAAAAAUUUUAUGAUUUUUUAAUAUUGUUUAUCUAGGGACCGGAAAAAAUAAAUUUUAUAAAAAAUAAUAAUAUAACAUUAAAAUUUUAGAUUAGAGUAACUAAUAUUAUUUUAAAGAGUAUACAAAAUUUUCUAUCAAAAACUUACAAAUUUGGAUGUUUAUAUACCGUUAAACUUACAAACGACUCACGUCAACUAUUAAAAUUAUUAACCUUGAACUAUUUCGGUUACUAUGUAAAAUAUAUAAAAACUUAUAAAAUUUAUUUUUUUUGAUAUUUUCAAAUUUCUAGAUCAAAUUUAAUUCGGCGGAUUGUAACUAUUAAAAGCAUCCCAACUGGACUGUAUAGCUUUUAAUUUUAGGGAUAAUUACCUAUAUACCCCUCAUGCGUUUGAAAAUAUCCCAUCUACGUACCCUUACUUCUUUUUUUUUUUUUUCUAAAAUACCCCUCAUAUGUUCCACCAUUAUUUCAAAAUACCUCCGCAGUUAUCCCCUGUUAGCUUAACUGGGGUUAAAUAUCGGUUAAAUGUAUACUAUAGUUAAAACCUAAACAAAGUACCAAUUUUGCCCUUACCUUAUUAUACUAAUAGUUAUCCUCUCUUUCUCUCCCAACUUGGUCGCCACCACCGGCGCCGGCUCCUCCUCCUCCAUCUCGCCUCAUCUCCUCCCAGACCACCACCACCUCCCACAUCUCCACCUCCAACACCACCCCUCUCGCCGCUCUCGUCGUCGUCCUCCUUCUCCUCCGCUCUCGUCGUCGUCGUUGUCCUCCUCCUCCGCCGCCUUGGCCGGCGCCGGGAGCAAGAGGGCCGCAACGACGAUCCUAUCUCGCCUGAGGCCGUUCGUGUGCCGUCCGCCCGAGGCCAUCCGCGUGUCGGGAGCAAGAGGGAGGUCCACGGUGCCGAGAGCAAGAGGGAGGCCCGAGGCCGUCCGCGUGCCGCAUGCCAUCCGUCAGCAUGCCAAGGCCCCCCGAGGCCGUCCGUGUGCGCGGUCCACGAGGCUAGUUUGGCCUCGUGGACCGGAUGAGAG
rnacentral:lncRNA from 1 species